rnacentral:lncRNA from 1 species
CUCAUCCAUGAAGAUCGAACCAAUCGGAACAUUAACUACUACUAACUACAGCAUCCUCACUUCUUGACGUUAGGCUUGCGCGGAGCGAACACAACACGGCGACGGGUCAAGAAGGCAGCAUCCUCACUUCUUGACGUUAGGCUUGCGCGGAGCGAACACAACACGGCGACGGGUCAACAAGGCACAAAUGUCGAAGGUAACAGAGAGGAGGAUCUUGGAGAGACGCUUGUUCAUGAACUGUGCAUACCAUACCUUCUUUGACAGUGAACCCAUGCGCUUCACGAGAUGAUGCACGACCAGUGCGAAGGGGUAGCUCUUGCUGCUGCG